rnacentral:rRNA from 1 species
AGAGUUUGAUCAUGGCUCAGGAUGAGCGCUGGCGGCGUGCCUAAUACAUGCAAGUCGAACGCUUCACAUAUGUGAAGAGUGGCGAACGGGUGAGUAAUACAUAAGUAACCUGGCCUUUACAGGGGGAUAACUAUUGGAAACGAUAGCUAAGACCGCAUAGGUGUCAUAACCACAUGGAGAUGACAUGAAAUAUGCUACGGCAUAGGUAGAGGAUGGACUUAUGGCGCAUUAGCUAGUUGGAGGGGUAACGGCCCACCAAGGCGACGAUGCGUAGCCGACCUGAGAGGGUGACCGGCCACACUGGGACUGAGACACGGCCCAGACUCCUACGGGGCGCCAGCAG